rnacentral:rRNA from 1 species
CCUACGGGUGGCAGCAGUGAGGAAUAUUGGUCAAUGGGCGGAAGCCUGAACCAGCCAAGUAGCGUGCAGGAUGACGGCCCUACGGGUUGUAAACUGCUUUUAUACGGGAAUAACGCGCCUUACGUGUAGGGCUUUGCAUGUACCGUAUGAAUAAGGACCGGCUAAUUCCGUGCAAGAAGCCGCGGUAAUACGGAAGGUCCGGGCGUUAUCCGGGUUUCGUGGGGUUAAAGGGAGCGUAGGCCGCAUGUCAAGCGUGAUGUGAAAUGUCCGGGCUCAACCCGGGCAUUGCAGGGCGAACUGGCGUGCUUGAGUCCGCGGAAAGCAGGCGGAAUUCGUCGUGUAGCGGUGAAAUGCUUAGAUAUGACGAAGAACCCCGAUUGCGAAGGCAGCUUGCUGCAGCGGAACUGACGCUGAUGCUCGAAAGCGCGGGUAUCGAACAGGAUUAGAUACCCCGGUAGUC